GUAUAUAUGAUAUUAUAUAUAUAUAUAUAUAUAAAGACAAAAAAACACUCUUGAAUAAGAUUUUUGGUUAUCCUUUUAUGAUGGACUGUAGCAUGAAACGUUACAUCACCAUACGAAAUGACGGUUGACUGGUUUGUUUGAUUUGCAUUGUAACACCCCCUUUUUUGCUUUUGUUUGUUAAAGUUUUACAGAACCUGGUCUUCCAUCUUUAAUUGAACAUCCCACAGUGGACUGUAACGGUGUGUUCAUGUUUGAGCCCUUCACACACACCGCUUUUGUCUGUUUUUUUUACAUAUAAAACAAAAAAAUGUUCCCAAUACAGUUACACGCUUUCAUGCACACAGCCACACCAGUUUCUUAUCCAAAUUUGAUCUAAACAAGUCUUCUUGAUCUGGUAAUAAGAAAUUCUGAAUAAGAAACUCUGCAAUAAGUGUGCAUGUAAACAAGUGUGUGAACAAAUGUGUGUGAGUUGUGCAUGACAGAACCACUGUGGGACGAGAAACAUCUGGAAUAUUGCAGCUCAUCUGGAUGGUAACGACUGGUGUUCAACAUCUCAUUAAGAAACCAGAAGACAGAAUCUAUAAUUGUAAAAGUUUCCACCGUAUGGCUUAUAUGUUAACCUGCUGUAAGCACUGAAGCAUUUGGCUUAUUUGUUUUGGCCUUUUUUAUUUCUUUAUUUGAUUUUUUUUGUCUCCUCAUAGGUGGAUUUUGUAGCUUGUGAAAUAUGAUGCUUAGAAGAAUUUUUAUGACUUCCUUUAGAAUUAAUUUUAGAAUGACAAGUAGUUCAAAGAAAAAGCUGAGGACAAAAGAUUAAAUGAAAAAACAAUCAAUGAAAAAGAAGCCCAGAGAUCCUGCAGCUGUGUACAUAUGGACAAAUGACUAAAAUAUUUGCUUUUUAUAUCAAUCACAAGCAAUGUAUAUAUGAUAGUUUUCAUAUAAAUUUUUAAAAAUC